GACGAACGCUGGCGGCGUGCUUAACACAUGCAAGUCGAACGGAAAGGCCCUGCUUUUGUGGGGUGCUCGAGUGGCGAACGGGUGAGUAACACGUGAGUAACCUGCCCUUGACUUUGGGAUAACUUCAGGAAACUGGGGCUAAUACCGGAUAGGAGCUCCUGCUGCAUGGUGGGGGUUGGAAAGUUUCGGCAGUUGGGGAUGGACUCGCGGCUUAUCAGCUUGUUGGUGGGGUAGUGGCUUACCAAGGCUUUGACGGGUAGCCGGCCUGAGAGGGUGACCGGCCACAUUGGGACUGAGAUACGGCCCAGACGCCUACGGGAGGCAGCAGUGGGGAAUAUUGCACAAUGGGCGGAAGCCUGAUGCAGCAACGCCGCGUGCGGGAUGACGGCCUUCGGGUUGUAAACCGCUUUCGCCUGUGACGAAGCGUGAGUGACGGUAAUGGGUAAAGAAGCACCGGCUAACUACGUG
rnacentral:rRNA from 1 species